rnacentral:rRNA from 1 species
ACCAGACUCCUACGGGAGGCAGCAGUGGGGAAUAUUGCACAAUGGGGGAAACCCUGAUGCAGCGACGCCGCGUGAGUGAAGAAGUAUUUCGGUAUGUAAAGCUCUAUCAGCAGGGAAGAAAAUGACGGUACCUGACUAAGAAGCCCCGGCUAACUACGUGCCAGCAGCCGCGGUAAUACGUAGGGGGCAAGCGUUAUCCGGAUUUACUGGGUGUAAAGGGAGCGUAGACGGUAGAGCAAGUCUGAAGUGAAAGCCCGCGGCUCAACUGCGGGACUGCUUUUGGAACUACAUGGCUUGAUUGCAGGAGAGGCAAGUGGAAUUCCUAGUGUAGCGGUGAAAUGCGUAGAUAUUAGGAGGAACACCAGUGGCGAAGGCGUCUUACUGGACCGAAACUGACGUUGAGGCUCGAAAGCGUGGGGAGCAAACAGGAUUAGAUACCCCGGUAC